UGUUUGAUUUGUUCUCUGCUGGUGUUUAUCAAGGUACCAUUGUCUGACAGAGAUGCUGGUGAGGUUGUUGAAGCCUUUCCAGAUUUAAAACAACACAAUUUAGUUUGAUAGAAUCUGCUCUCUUGUCUGAAUAUUUCCGGAGUUGGAGUUGAAUAGAAACAUGCUUUAACUAUUGAUUCUUCAGAGCAGCUUCAUGCAGGAUUUUGACAUCAUUGUUCUAUUUUCCAUGAGAUUGUGUACCAACGUGGGCUUCUCCGUCACCUGAUCAAAGGCAUACUUUGCUCAACUUUGGGAAAUAUUUAUUUCAUGUCAAUGACUGAUGCAUGAGCACAGCUCACAAUCAGAUGGAAUAAUGGCACAAAAACAACUUUUGUCGGGACAUGAUUUGUUUUCGUUCACCGUCUGGUUCAUCCAGUCAGCAUGUUCAGCAGGUUUGACCUGUCGAGGAAGAAGCUGUUGACGUGACGGGCGCAGCUUCCAGGCUUGUGUCGAGCAGAAGUGGGUGUGUGCAAUGAGCCCAAGUCAAAUGAAGGAGUGCGAGGAGUCAGCCAGUGCAGUGAGAUUGUGAGGAGCUCAUGAACACAUCAGCUGUCGGUUAUUACAGCGUGUCAGUCAAUUCUUCAGGAUACUGUGGCGCUGGCUUGUUCUUGUUCAUUGAAGAGUGAUGUAGGAUUGUGCUCUCUCUCAAUAUCACUGGUGGUUGAGUGGUUAAAGUUUAUCCUCGUGAUCUAGUCCUGAGUUACAUUCCUGAUGACGUGUUUUCCUGUACGCCGUGAGCCAGCAGAGCUUUGUUGCAUGUGCAGCUAAUCUUUGAAAGUUGUUCUGAUGUGACUGCAUGCUGUAUUCUUUACCAAGAAAUCAUCAUGCUAAUGGUUGAUACAAGAGGCUUCAUGUGUCACUAGUUCUUCAAACCAUGGUGUCAGAAUGUCAGUGUUGUUGUCAUUUUAUGUCAUGGAAAUUGAUGACUGAGUCACUUGUUUUUGUUUCAUCAUUAUAAUGCGAAUUGCUUCAUAAAGUCAAAGGAGUCUGUGUUUUCCUGUGCUCACCUGACAGUUUUAGGCUCCAUCCCAAUUUCCUGUCUGAGGAGCAUCAAAGACAGCCAUAUUAAAAUGGUCAGGUGGACAGAGGCAGCUGGGUCUCAGCGAUGCAAACUUGAUACAAAUGUUUGAAGAUUGUUGUGAAAAUAAAAUUUCAGCACCAUGGUACCAUGAAAGUUGAUACAUUUUAUUGAUUCGAUUGUUGGCUGUGAUUUAUGAAGUCACAUGGUCGUUCUGAUCAGAGCAUUGUGCAUCAGCAGCUGCUUCAGGUCAACUGAGGUCAUGAUGGAGGAAACUCAGGAACACAGCAGGGCACACCCCCUCGCUCACUGGGCGAGUGAGUGUCCAUGAGCAGGAUCAGGAGCUCAGCUCAGUUGGAAGCUUCACCUGCAAACAUGGACCCGAGUCUUCAGACCAGAGGAGAGCUGCAAACAGGUGUAGACAGAGAGGAGGAAGCUCCUCCCUCUAAAGCCCUUCUGGGUGAGGACCAUGGCAGCCAGACCAGAGCUCAGAGAUCAAAGCCACUCACAUCAGAAGCUGCUGGACGAGGACACGGACCUGGACCCGCUCCCAGCUGUGAGUCUCUGAACAGUGACAUGUCUAUAGGAAGAGAUAUGGACUUCAGAGGAGGACAGGACCAUCAGAGCAGGAGCAGGUUGAAUCAGGAGAGACUGAACUCUGAACUCAGCUGCGAGUCUCUGAAGAGUGACAGGUCGAUGGAUCUUCUCAUUGAUUUCAAAGGUGGACAAGAGCCUUCAGGAGAGAGAGAGGAUCAGCAGGUCUCAGAUGUUCUCAGUCACCAGUGUGUCCAGCAGCAUCAGACAGAUCUGGACUCCACACUUCAGCUGCUUGAAGAGACUGUCAUGACCCUGGUGAAGAAGGAAGUGAGGAGAGUCCAAAGGUUCCUCAGGCCAGAUGAUUCCAAAUACCAGGAUGAUGAGGAAGAGGUGAAGGUGAAGUGUGAUGAGGAGCAGAUGUGGAGCAGCAGAGAAGCUUUCCUGGACUUCAUUGUGAACCUCCUGAGGAACAUGGAGGAGGAGGAGCUUGCUGAUCGUGUGUGGAGCAGAAGUCGUGCUGGAAUGUGUGCAGGACGACUGAAGAGGAGCCUGCAGAAGAAGUUCCACAGUGUGUUUGAGGGGGUGGCUAAAGCAGGAAACUCUGCCCCUCUGAAUCAGAUCUACACAGAGCUCUACAUCACUGAGGGGGGCACAGACCAGGUCAACCAGGAGCACGAGGUCCGACAGAUCGAAGCAGCAACCAGGAACCAGACCAGAGCAGAAACUACCAUCAGACAAGAAGACCUCUUUAAAGCUUCACCUGAGAGAGAGGGACCCAUCAGGAGCCUGCUGACGAAGGGCGUGGCUGGCAUUGGGAAGACCCUCCUGACCCAGAAGCUGACUCUGGACUGGGCUGAAGACAAAGCCCACCAGAACUUCCAGCUCAUGUUUCCUUUCACCUUCAGAGAGCUGAACCUGCUGAAAGAGAAGCAGUUGAGUUUGGUGGAACUUGUUCAUCGCUUCUUUCCUGAAACCAAAGACUCAGGACUCAGCAGCUUUGAAAGAGUCCAGGUUCUGUUCAUCUUGGACGGUCUGGACGAGUGUCGACUGCCUCUGGACUUCAACAGUCGGGUCCUGACAGAAGCUACAGAGUCCACCUCAGUAGACGUCCUGCUGACCAACCUCAUCAGGGGGAAGCUGCUUCCCUCAGCUCACCUCUGGAUCACCACACGACCUGCAGCAGCCAAUCAGAUCCCUCCUGAGUGUGUGGACAUGGUGACAGAGGUCCGAGGGUUCACUGACCUGCAGAAGGAGGAGUACUUCAGGAAGAGGUUCAGAGAUGAGGAGCAGACCACCAUCAUCUUUCACAUCAGGAGCUCACGAAGCCUCCACAUCAUGUGUCACAUCCCCAUCUUCUGCUGGAUCACUGCCACAGUUCUGGAGGACAUGUUGAAGAGCAGAGAGAGUGGAGAGCUGCCCAAGACCCUGACUGAGAUGUACAUCCACUUCCUGGUGGUUCAGGCCAAAGUCAAGAAGCUCAAGUACCAUGGAGGAGCUGGGACAGACACAGUUUGGGACCCUGAGAGCAGGAAGAUGAUUAAGUCUCUGGGAAAACUGGCUUUUGAGCAGCUGCAGAGAGGAAACCUGAUCUUCUAUGAAUCAGACCUCACAGAGUGUGGCAUCGACAUCACAGCUGCUGCAGUUUACUCAGGAGUCUUCACACAGAUCUUCAGAGAGGAGAGAGGACUGUACCAGGACAAGGUCUUCUGCUUCAUCCACCUGAGUCUCCAGGAGUUUCUGGCUGCUCUUCAUGUCCACCUGAAGUUCUUCAACUCUGGAGUCGAUCUGCUCCAUUCACAGCAAACAUCCAUACUGAUAAGAAUCUUUAGAAAGAAUGUUCAUCCUGAACAGUUCUACCAGAGAGCAAUAAAUGAAGCUGUAGAAAGUCCUACUGGACAUCUGGACUUGUUCCUGCGUUUCCUUCUGGGUCUUUCUCUGCAGAGCAGCCAGAGUCUCCUUCCAGGUUUGUUGCCACAGACAGGAAGUAGCUCCUGGACCCAUCAGGACACAGCAGAGCUCAUCAAGAAGAAGAUAAGUGAGAAAGUGUCUCCAGAGAGAAUCAUCAAUCUGUUCCACUGUCUGAGUGAAGUGAAGGACACUUCUGUAGUGGAGCAGCUCCAACAGCAGCUGAGAUCAGGACGUCUCUCCACAGAGGAACUGUCUCCUGCUCAGUGGUCCACUCUGGCCUUCAUCUUAUUGUCCUCAGAGGAAGAUCUGGAGGUGUUUGAUCUGAAGAAAUACUCUGCUUCAGAGGAGGUUCUUGACAGGCUGCUCCCGGUGGUUCAAGCUUCGAAAGCUGUUCUACUGAGAGACUGUCAGCUGUCAGAGAGAAGUUGUUCCCUUCUGUCCUCAGUCCUCAGCUCUCCGUCCUCUCGUCUGACACAACUGGACCUGAGUCUCAACAGCAAGCUGAAGGAUCCAGGAGUGGAGCUGCUGUGUGCUGGACUGAAGAGUCCACACUGUCACCUGGAGACUCUCAGCCUGAUCAGGUGUGAUAUGUCAGAGAGAAGUGGUUCCCUUCUGUCCUCAGUCCUCAGCUCUCCAUCCUCUCGUCUGACACAACUGGACCUGAGCCACAACAUCAACCUGAAGGAUCCAGGAGUGGAGCUGCUGUGUGCUGGACUGAAGAGUCCACACUGUCACCUGGAGACUCUCAGACUGAGCGGGUGUUUGGUGUCAGAGAGAAGUGGUUCCCUUCUGUCCUCAGUCCUCAGCUCUCCGUCCUCUCGUCUGACACAACUGGACCUGAGUCUCAACUACGGUCUGAAGGAUCCAGGAGUGGAGCUGCUGUGUGCUGGACUGAAGAGUCCACACUGUCACCUGGAGACUCUCAGCCUGAUCAGGUGUGAUCUGUCAGAGAGAAGUGGUUCCCUUCUGUCCUCAGUCCUCAGCUCUCCGUCCUCUCGUCUGACACAACUGGACCUGAGCCACAACUACGACCUGAAGGAUCCAGGAGUGGAGCUGCUGUGUGCUGGACUGAAGAGUCCACAUUGUCACCUGGAGACUCUCAGCCUGAGCUGGUGUCAGCUGUCAGAGAGAAGUGGUUCCCUUCUGUCCUCAGUCCUCAGCUCUCCGUCCUCUCGUCUGACACAACUGGACCUGAGCUACAACUACGAGCUGAAGGAUGCAGGAGUGAAGCUGCUGUGUGCUGGACUGAAGAGUCCACACUGUCACCUGGAGACUCUCAGCCUGAGCAUGUGUUUGCUGUCAGAGAGAAGUGGUUCCCUUCUGUCCUCAGUCCUCAGCUCUCCGUCCUCUCGUCUGACACAACUGGACCUGAGUCUCAACUACAAGCUGAGGGAUCCAGGAGUGGAGCUGCUGUGUGCUGGACUGAAGAGUCCACACUGUCACCUGGAGACUCUCAGUCUGUCAGGUUGCAGGAUCUCAGAGAGAGACUGUGCUUCUCUGGCCUCAGCUCUGACCUCUAACCCCUCCCAUCUGAGAGAGCUGGACCUGAGCUUCAACCAUCCAGGAGGACCAGGACUGGAGCUGCUGUCUGCUGGACUGGAGAGUCCAGACUGGAGGCUGGAGACUCUCAGGCUGGAUCACUGUGGACCACAGAGGUUAAGAGCUGGAGCGGAGAGAUACUUCCGUCCACUCUCACUGGACCCAGACACAGCUCACCGGCGCCUCCUGCUGUCCAACAACAACAGCAUGGUGGAACUAGUGACGGAGGAUCAGGAUUAUCUGGACCAUGACGACAGGUUUGAGCGGUGUCCUCAGGUGAUGAGCAGAGAUGCUGUGACUGGUGUCUGUUACUGGGAGCUGGAGUGGAGAGGAAGAGUUUCUGUGGCAGUGACUCUCAGGAGAGACGGAGGGAAGGAAGACGAGUCUGAGUUUGGACGGAACCAUUAUUCCUGGAGUCUGAGCUGCUCUGAUGAUGCUGGAUAUAAAGUCUGUCACAAUAAGAGAGAAACUGUCAUCGAGAGCUCAGAAGUCUCUCACAGACUUGGAGUGUGGCUGAAUGCACCUCCUGGAACGUUAGGGUUCUACAGAGUCUCCUCUGGAGUCCAGACUCACCUGCGCACCUUGUUCACCCCCACUGAACCUCUGUACCUGGGAUUUGGACUCGGAGAGGUUCCUGGUUCUGGUUCCUCCGUGUGUCUGUGUGACCUGAGUGUGUGAGUGUGUUCCUCCAACAAACUGGUGUUGCUGGUUCAAAUCCCCAUCCAAGCUGCUGACAGUGAGGAAUGAAAUCAAAUUUAAGAGGUGGUUGAAAACAUUUUCCCACCACUGUAAAUGAAUAGAAAAUCUGGAUUCCCCUCUGGAUCUUUGUCUUUUCCCACCAAGAUUCCCCACUGAAAGGAUUAGAAUGGUAGCAGUAAGGAAGCGUGCAGCUGAGCUCCUCUCAGUGGAUCAGCAACCGUAACUGUAUGAAUAACAGUCGAAGCUCAGCGUCAUGGAAAAUGACUGGCACUGUACCACAGAGGACUCUCCACAGGCCAUUUGAAUUCCUCCCAGUACAAUGUCAUGUACUGUACUGUCUUAAAUUUGCUGUUUAUUGUUUGUCUGUGCUAGUUUAGCUUUCUCUUAUUUGAACAUCUCCCACUGCGUCUUUUAUAUAGCACUUUCUUUGGCUGUUCUUUUUUAGAUUUUUGUGAUUUUCACUCUAAGAAAAUGCGGCUCUUGCGGCAGUUCUCCUGAACGUUUCGUGUCUGUGGUGGAGGCUCACACGCUGAAUUUUUAUUUAAUUUACUUGUUAAAUCUGACAUCUCUGCGUUCACCUGCUCUUUUUGGCUUGAUUUCAAUGUGGAACUCGAUUUAAUAAUCGACAACACAUCUGUUUUACACCCUCCGUCGUUCCUUGCGACUGCCAUCCACAAAACCACCUCCCUGAAAUGAAUUGUGAAUACAGAGUCUUCACCUUGUCCGAGCGUGGACAGGAGCUCGAGUGUGACAAUCAUGAAGAAGAAGGGAGACACGUGACUGUGUGAUGCAGCAGUUUGAGGAGGUGAAUGAAACACAUGAACGUUGCCGGACGCAGCAACGACAUCAGCAUCUUGAUCGUUUGCUGUUUAUUGAUGCUGUUUGACGAAGACGAAAGAAAGUUUGUUUCCAGUCAUCCAUUUUUUUUGUUGUUUGAUAUUUUUUACUCCGCAAAGAAGAAUUGCUGUUCAUGAUCCAUGAUGAUGUGAAGGAGACCAAAGUGGCUGGUUUGUCUAUAUUUUGCCUUAUAUUUCCGUGACAAUUGAAGUUGUUCUUUGACUGAGCUAAUGCUAAUGACUGUGUCUGUUCAGUUCUACGGUGGCAAUAAACAUCAGUGAAGACGCUGGCGACUCUCUUCAUUCCAUCGACGGCAGACUGACAGACCUGAGGCUCACAGCACAGUCAUGUGACUUUGCAAACCUGAAAGAUUCCAUGGAACGUGAUCAAAUUGUGUGUGGAGUUUACGACAGGAACAUUAGAGAGAGAGAGGCGUUCACGUGCAGCGGAGCCGACUCUAGAUGCAGCUCUGCAAAUCUGUCAUGUCAGUGAGGUGGAAGCAGAUGCCUGCAGAGACACGAGGAAUGAUGCUGCUGCUGCCACUGAUCUCCCCAAACACAGAAAGACUCUUGCACUGAGGGAUGACACUGGAAAAGAGGUCAAAUGCAGAAGUGUCAGUUUGGAGACAGACCUUCUGCUGAAGGCAGCCUGAGCAGGAACAGCUGAAGAUGCCACGAUGGGAAUGGUCUGCUUCACAUGGAGGUUCAUUCCUGACCUCACAGCUGAGACCUCCUGCACAACAGACCUGUCACAUAAAGAGGAAGAUUUCAGGUGGAGAAGUGAACAUCAGCUCACAGAGGCAUGAACAACAGCAGUACUGACAAAGAACAUCAGUGUGUCGACAGACUCUUCAAGAGAUGGACUUGGUGCAGAGCUUCUGCAGAGUGAAGGUCAACACUGGAGACCUGGUGUUUGGUCUGGGGAGGUUCCAACACUGCGUUUAUGGCCGACCGACCUUCACUGUGGAGACAGACCAUGGAGCUCUUGUUGCCAUGAUGAAGACGCUGCAGAGACGUUUAUUCGCAGGCAGCACAAGUGCUACGGAGAUAGAAGUGAAAACUGCUGAGAGAAAUGCUUCCUGUGUCUGAUGCCUGAAGUGUUAUUCUGUAUGAGGAAGUAGCAAGGACGACACUCCAGUAGAGCUUUACUUGUUCACUUCACCUUCUCAUGUAUCAAUAACAUCCGACUUACGUCCACCCGUACUUAGGACCACGGCCAGCAGAUGCCAGCUUUUUUGUUUUAAUUCAAUGUCUGGCACUGGAGCAGUAACCAUUGGACGUGCCACAUGUCAGAGGCGGAGAAGCAGGGAGACAACAGAAGCGGCCAUGGCACCAGAGUUGGGACGGACUGGUUCCAUUUCAAAGGACGAGACCAUCUUGUAGUCAGGGAGUCACUUCUGUCCCACACAGCGUCAGGUGGUGCGAUGGUGCAUGCAGAGUCAUUCCAAACACAGGUGUCACCGACGAUGGACCGCGCUUCAGGAGCAAAGAGUGGCAGAGGUUUUCUGGGCAGUGUGACGUCACCUUCAUCACUGAAGUCCACUGUGUGCACAGUCCUAUGGAAAGGCUGAAGAAGGUGAGCACACUGGCAAAAGAGAGUGGAUCAGAUCCCUCCUUGCUCUGCUCACUUCCACAGCAGCUCCCUUCGAUUGUGGACGGUCACCCGAUGAGUCCCGGGCUGUGAACCACUCCGGCAGCUGUUGCCAAGCAGAGCAGGCGUCAAGCUGGUCCCCACCGUCCAGAGGAUUCCGCUCGCGUCGUGUUCAGAAGGCCAACGAGAGAAACAAGGAAAGCUCUCACGUUGAACAGAAACGUUUCUCUUCACGGCUGGAUGUUGAAAAUGUUGCGACAUUCAUGUGCUACUGUGAUAAAGAAAGAGGGGUGUGGCAGUGCUGGUCAGUGACCACUAGGCGUCAGUAUUUGUUUCGGUAUAAGGAUAUAGGUCUGUUAUGGGAGUGAAUAGAAGAAGUGUCACUACCGUGGCUCCACGUGGACAGAACACGUCUGGAGUUGCCGAAGCGGUUAUAUCCUUCUGUACAACUUGUCCACACGCCAGUGACUGCAACAUGUGUGACAUUAACCAGGAACGUGAGACACGUCUUUCUGUGCGGCUUUCAUUUAUCCAACGCACAUGUACAUAACACACGGAAGGGGCUGCCGGGUACGGCAACGCGCUAGGGACAACUCUCAUGCCGCACACAACAGAAGCCGUGGGAGCGGUGCGGUUUUUUCAAAGGGCAACUUUAUUGACCCGCCGUGAAGCUCCAAAACAGUCCACUUGGUGACUUUAUCCACCGGAUUACCUGCCGUAUUACAGUGCGCACGUUACAAACAACACACCGAUAGCGAUUGUGAUGAGUUAGUAUUGUUAUUUUAUUCCAAAGUCUCGUAACUAAACAUUUUGUGGAACAGAACUGACACCUAGUGGUGAUAUUUGCUAACUGCACGAUGUUAACAGAAACGUUCUAUUGUUUGUUUUUCUGUUGUACAAUUCAACAUAUAUUCAGUAUAUAUAAUGUAAUAUAAGAAUGAUUGUAUCACCAAAAUUCACCAUCAUUUCAGCUCUAAUUUUUCUGUUAUUGACAACGAUCAAGAUUUCAGUUAUGAUUCUACUACAUUUUCAGUGUGAUCAAUUCCCAUUGUGUCACUUCAGAAUGAUCCAGAUCAUGUGAUCCAUGUGAUAUGCGUUAGGAUAAUGAAAACAUUGUUUAGUCCCCAGUUUGAAGAGUUUCCCGCCAUGAAGACAGAAUCUGUGACGGGAUGUUUGGGGAUGCUGAGACUUGGAGCCAAACAGAGAGCAUUGAUCAAGAUGCAUAGGUCCAGGUGGAGGAGGCUGAGUGGCGAUGGCAGCCCUGAUGGCAAAUGUCUACUGACACAGAAGAAGCACAGGCCGAGCUGGAGCAACUAAUCCAAGAGAAUGGACAAAGAUGACAGUCAAUGGUUGCCAAGUUCAUUUAAAAAAAAAAGUAAACAAUCCACUCAAAGUGACAGAAGUGACACAGGAAACACAGUUGAAUGCUGAGGAGAAGAAGAUGCAAGAUCACUAGUGAGCCAGUAGCCAGACGGGAGGUGAACCUGAAUCGUCUAUUCGUCCCACACAGAGAGGAGACGUCUCCUCUCUGUGUGGGACGAAUAGAAAAAUUGAAACUCACGUCCCUCGUUUUGUCUUUUUUUGUGAUCGUAUUGCAUAAAAAAAUGUAUGUCUUUCUGACAACAAUUCAAAAUUAUUAUG